AUGAGGACGAAGUGACUGACACCACGCUUCCAGGAAAAGCCACUAAGCUUCAGCUGUAGAAAAACCGUACCGCAAACCGACACAGGUAGGCAGGGUGAGAAUCCCAAGGCGCUUGAGAGAACUCGGGUGAAGGAACUAGGCAAAAUGGCACCGUAACUUCGGGAGAAGGUGCGCCUCUUGGUGUGGUCACGUGCGUGACUGAGCAUCGAGGGGUCGCAGUAACCUGGCCGCUGCGACUGUUUAUCAAAAACACAGCACUCUGCAAACACGAAAGUGGACGUAUAGGGUGUGACGCCUGCCCGGUGCUGGAAGGUUAAUUGAUGGGGUCAGCCGCAAGGCGAAGCUCUUGAUCGAAGCCCCAGUAAACGGCGGCCGUAACAAUAACGGUCCUAAGGUAGCGAAAUUCCUUGUCGGGUAAGUUCCGACCUGCACGAAUGGCGUAACGACAGCGGCGCUGUCUCCACCCGAGACUCAGUGAAAUUGAAAUCGCUGUGAAGAUGCAGCGUUCCCGCGGCAAGACGGAAAGACCCCGUGAACCUUUACUAUAGCUUUACACUGAACGUUGAGUUCUUCUGUGUAGGAUAGGUGUGAGGCUAUGAAACCAGGACGCUAGUUCUGGUGGAGCCAUCCUUGAAAUACCACCCUGAAGUGCUUGACGUUCUAACCUAGGUCCGUAAUCCGGAUCGGGGACCGUGUAUGGUGGGUAGUUUGACUGGGGCGGUCUCCUCCCAAAGAGUAACGGAGGAGCACGAAGGUACGCUCAGCGCGGUCGGACAUCGCGCACUGUGUGCAAAGGCAUAAGCGUGCUUGACUGCGAGAUCGACGGAUCAAGCAGGUACGAAAGUAGGUCUUAGUGAUCCGGUGGUUCUGUAUGGAAGGGCCAUCGCUCAACGGAUAAAAGGUACUCCGGGGAUAACAGGCUGAUACCGCCCAAGAGUUCAUAUCGACGGCGGUGUUUGGCACCUCGAUGUCGGCUCAUCACAUCCUGGGGCUGUAGCCGGUCCCAAGGGUAUGGCUGUUCGCCAUUUAAAGUGGUACGCGAGCUGGGUUCAGAACGUCGUGAGACAGUUCGGUCCCUAUCUGUCGUGGGCGUUGGAGAUUUGAGGGGGGCUGCUCCUAGUACGAGAGGACCGGAGUGGACGUUCCGCUGGUGUUCGGGUUGUCAUGCCCAUGGCAUUGCCCGGUAGCUACGAACGGAAGUGAUAACCGCUGAAAGCAUCUAAGCGGGAAGCACGCCCCAAGAUGAGAUCUCCCGAGAGCUUGACUCUCCUAAAGGCACCAUCAAGACUAGGUGGUUGAUAGGCACGGUGUGGAAGUGCAGCAAUGCAUUGAGCUUACGUGUACUAAUGAGCCGUGAGGCUUGAUCAA
rnacentral:rRNA from 1 species